rnacentral:rRNA from 1 species
GCAUAAUACAUGCAAGUCGAGCGGACUAUGCAUAGAGAAGCUUGCUUCCUUGAUACUUAGCGGCGGACGGGUGAGUAACACGUAGGCAACCUGCCCUCAAGUUUGGGACAACUACCGGAAACGGUAGCUAAUACCGAAUAAUUGUUUUCUUCGCCUGAAGGAAACUGGAAAGACGGAGCAAUCUGUCACUUGGGGAUGGGCCUGCGGCGCAUUAGCUAGUUGGUGAGGUAACGGCUCACCAAGGCGACGAUGCGUAGCCGACCUGAGAGGGUGAUCGGCCACACUGGGACUGAGACACGGCCCAGACUCCUACGGGAGGCAGCAGUAGGGAAUCUUCCGCAAUGGGCGAAAGCCUGACGGAGCAAUGCCGCGUGAGUGAUGAAGGUUUUCGGAUCGUAAAGCUCUGUUGCCAGGGAAGAACGCUUGGGAGAGUAACUGCUCUCAAGGUGACGGUACCUGAGAAGAAAGCCCCGGCUAACUACGUGCCAGCAGCCGCGGUAAUACGUAGGGGGCAAGCGUUGUCCGGAAUUAUUGGGCGUAAAGCGCGCGCAGGCGGUCAUUUAAGUCUGGUGUUUAAUCCCGGGGCUCAACCCCGGAUCGCACUGGAAACUGGGUGACUUGAGUGCAGAAGAGGAGAGUGGAAUUCCACGUGUAGCGGUGAAAUGCGUAGAUAUGUGGAGGAACACCAGUGGCGAAGGCGACUCUCUGGGCUGUAACUGAC